rnacentral:rRNA from 1 species
CAGUCGCCACGGUAAUACGUAGGGUGCGAGCGUUGUCCGGAAUUACUGGGCGUAAAGAGCUCGUAGGCGGUUUGUCGCGUCGUCUGUGAAAUUCUGCAGCUUAACUGUAGGCGUGCAGGCGAUACGGGCAGACUUGAGUACUACAGGGGAGACUGGAAUUCCUGGUGUAGCGGUGAAAUGCGCAGAUAUCAGGAGGAACACCGGUGGCGAAGGCGGGUCUCUGGGUAGUAACUGACGCUGAGGAGCGAAAGCGUGGGUAGCGAACAGGAUUAGAUACCCGCGUAGUCCCUGUCUCUUAUAC